rnacentral:lncRNA from 1 species
AUAAGAUUUUUUUUUUUUUUUUUGAGAUAGAUUGAUAGCAUGCCACAUAUUUUAUUUAGAAAUAAACUUAGUUGGCAAGGUGAAUCAAUUCGGAUUCGAACUUGGAACCUCGAAUACCAACCACCAAGCCUUUUGUCACUUGCGCUAGAGACGGUCGAUUACAUCAUAAUAGGAUUUUGACAAGUAAACUUGCUAUAUAUAGACCCAUUUUUUUUUUCACAUACACAACUCUCUCAAUGGACAAAAUUGUAUAAAUAUUCAUACAAAGUUUGUGUCUACGUGGGUGCCCUUGAAAAUCAUACUUAUUGGCAUUCAUGCAUCUGAUCAAAAUUUUAUACUAAAAUUAUAAGUAUAUAUCUGAAGUUAUUUUUCAAAAAGAUAUUGGAUAAAUUAUGCGCAUGAAUAAAUAAUAAUUGCAGAGGUAAACAUAUAAACACUAACUUUGUAGGAAUAUUUGCACAAUUUGUAUGAUCAAAGUGUUAUAUAACAAAAAAUGCUUAAAAAUA